CUGGGACUCUCCACCAUUUGACGCUUUUCUUUCCAAGCUCCUUAGACUAUAAUUAUACGCAUUUUUUUCUUUUCACCCUUCAACCAAAUCUCAACAUUCUUUAGACAUCUUGCAAAGUUGUCUUCAACAUAUUUUAGCCAUCUUUUCACUGAGUUUUUGUUGGAUUGGAGGGGUUGUUAACACAGCGUAUGUGAAAAAACUUUAGUCUUAUUAAUAUCUACAUGUUGGCUGACUAUAAUAAUAGGUGUAUCUAUAAAUAAUGAGAAGUUUUGCCAUUUUCUGUAAAAUCCCUCUGUUGUGUCUCCAACAGUAAAAGGUCGGACCAACCUGAAGAUAAAAGAGAAGUACUUGUCCCCAGCUGGGAGCACCUCUAAAGGUUUGACUGUCAGCAGGUCCAACUCAAGCCUCAGCCUGUACAGCAGUGCCUCUGCCCCCACCAGCCCCAUGACACGCAAGGCAUUACUUCGUAGGAGUUUCUCAGGUGACCGCUGCAUUCGCCCCAGGAGCUCCAUAGCUGCUUUGGGGUCUGACCUACAGUUUGCCACAACAGGGGAGGAUAACUCUCCAUCACCACCAGACGAAACUGAGAGGUUGCCCACAUGAUUAUCUCUCCUUCUGAGCACCCUGAGUAUGCUGCAGCGCUCAACCCAAACACAGCCUUGAAGCCCCAAAAGAGUGACAAGCAAAAGUUAGGUGCUAGAAGGGGCCUGAAAAUAAUGGAAUCAUUCACAUUUGACCAGGUGAAAAUGAAGGAAAAAUACAGGAAAGGUCACCAAAAGUGCUGCUAAUAGGCGUGCAGCUUUAGGUAAUCUGCGUGAGAAGAAUGUCUCAGUGUGGACAAUGAGGGGUCAGUCCAGAUGCAAGGCAGAGAUUUUUUUUGUCCCUUUUUUCCUCAUUUCAUAUAUUUGUAUCUGAUUGCGUAGAGAGUAAGAAUUUCUGCAUGGAUACUUGCUGCAUGAUAGCCAGAGCAUUGCUUUAAUCAGAACUGCUUUUAUUUUCCAAGCCUGCUAAAGAUGAGCUAAAGUCGGACGGUGUCGGGAGAUGUCAGUAACGCUCUGUUACUGAUUCAAGGUGACAUAGUGCUAAGACUCACAUAUGAUGGCACUGAAAGGUGUUGUGUUAUCUGACUCUGCUAUCAACAUCCAAAAAAAAUACUCAUAUACCAAAAUCAUAACUAUAUAAAGGGUACAGUAUGCCGUCCGUCAGCUUUGUAAUAUUUUUUUUUGUUUUUAUGUCAUUCCAUGAUGAGGAUAUUGUUGGCAGGGCCACACUUUCUUUUGUCUUUUAAUUUUUUUGGACAGCAUGUUUUCAUAUAAAUGUAUUUUUAUUCUUUAUUGUAAGGAUGCUCUAAACACUGGAGAUUGUUUAACGAACAAUGCACUGAAGUACGACGGGCCAUUGUUGAUUUGUAGAGAUUCUUUUUCUCAGGACUGGUUGUGUCUUUCGAUGUAUGUUUCUAUGGAACAUUACUGUGAACAUGUAGAUGUGUUUUUUUCUUCAUAACACUGUACUUAGAAAAAUUUCUUUAGCGCAUUUGUCUUUAUAAAUAUGCACUUUUCUGUGUCCAACUACUGUAGAUAUGUCGUGCUAAGUAAGAGGAUGUCUUACAUAUGAUUUAUACAAACUAUAAUUUUAGUUUGGGGUUCAUAAAAAAAUAAUGUUGACAAUUUUAUGUCAUGAGAAUGCAGUGGUUGUAUAUUUAAUAUUUCUAUUAGUUUCUAUGCUUUUCUGGCAUUUUAAGCAACACAGUAUCGUUUUUUUGUUUUGUUUUCUGCCAUUCAAUCAGUUCAGAAACUCUCACAUUUGUUAAUUCAUUAUUCGCCUUCCAAAGAUGUUAAAAAGAACAUUCAACACUAGUUUCCUUAAUAACAACACAUGAGCCUGGACAUAACAGUAUGUAUUGUUUCAGCAAUAAACAACAAACCACAUUUAUCUUGAGAAAUAAUCAACUACAAGUCCACCAUCAUCAUCAUCAUCAUCAUCAUCAUCCACUGGUAGUGUUGCAAAGCUUUUAUUCUGCGGGUUAAUGAUAGACCAGUUAAUACUUUACAAUAUGUGUAACCACUAUGUUUGUAAGUGUCCCUUUGUACUAGAUCCACCUGAGGUUGAGUAGCUUCAGUAGCUUAUGUCAUGGCAUUUGGUCUAUGCAGUUGUCAACUAAAUUUUUUAAAGUCAAAAAUGUUUUACGUGAUGGAAUACAUUUUCUCUUUGCCUCGUGUUUGGAGACAGUUGAUAAUUUACUGUACUGUAAAAAAUUACAACAGCCAGAUUUCACUUCGAUUGCUAUGCACCCUGAUCUUUCUGUACUGUAAAUGUUUCUAUACCCAGCACUCAUUCUGAUGUCUAACUUUAGAUGAAUGUCACUAAUAAUUUUACAUCCACUUGUAUAAAAAAUAAAACUUUUGUAUAAAAAUAU
ensembl:lncRNA